UUAGAAAUACAUGACUUGAGAAAUUUCAAACUUUGGCUUCAAUAAAUACAUAUUAGUCACGUGUUAACGAUUUAGAUGUGAAUAUCUAAAUAAGAGGGACCAAUGUUUAUUGGAUCAAAUGAUAAAAAAUUUGAUGUCUUUUAAAUAAGAAAUCAAGUUUGAGUUUUGUGAAUGAAAAAAUAAUCCCGAAAAAGUUUCUUCCUUUAUUCAGCGGUCGAACUUAGGCACAACUACAAAUUUAGUUGGAGCCCAAUACGGAUUUAGACUAAAAAAAAAGGAGUACAAUAGGGACUAGAUUCCCAUGACGGACGAUAUCUAUAAAGUUAAGUAACAGGUACAUUCUUAGCAAAGAGGGCUUUCUAAAGCAUAAGACUUGGAACUAAGCUGACUCGCACCCAAUUUGCUUAACUCUAUCUACAUAUCAUGGCGGAUUCUCGGAACUUUCGAACUAACAUCGAAAAAACUAUCGAGGUUCCAUUAUAGAAGCUGUUAUGUGAUUGGCUGAAAGUGUUGCAGGCCUGCUUGAAGGCUGAUUUGAAUUAGAGAAUGCAGGCUGUUUGGGAGAAUUUAGAACUGUAAGUUCAUUGGUAAGCAUCGANNNN
rnacentral:lncRNA from 1 species